UACGGGGGGAGCAAGCGUUGUUCGGAUUUACUGGGCGUAAAGGGCGCGUAGGCGGCCAUGCGUGUCUUCCGUGAAAUCCCUCGGCUUAACUGAGGACGUGCGGAAGAAACUGCAAGGCUUGAGUCCGGGAGAGGGGGGUGGAAUUCCCAGUGUAGCGGUGAAAUGCGUAGAUAUUGGGAGGAACACCGGUGGCGAAGGCGGCCCCCUGGACCGGUACUGACGCUGAGGCGCGAAAGCGUGGGUAGCAAACGGG
rnacentral:rRNA from 1 species